GCAUUUCACAAAUCAAUCUCUGAAAUCCAAAGAACUCCAAAUGACAGUUUCAUAUUUGCCCUUCAAAACCCAGAACCCUAGUAUCUCCCUAGAAAGUUCAUGUGCACAAGAAACUCCCAGUUCAACGCCUAAUUAAAUCCAACCCAACAAAACCCUAAGCCUCAAAACCAAUUCCCACUAUUACAACGAUUCAAUAAAACAGAGACCUUUAUGGCGUACACAAUGUGAGAAU
rnacentral:misc_RNA from 1 species